rnacentral:rRNA from 1 species
CGGGACGGGUGAGUAAUGUCUGAGAAACUGCCUGAUGGAGGGGGAUAACUACUGGAAACGGUAGCUAAUACCGCAUAACGUCGCAAGACCAAAGAGGGGGACCUUAGGGCCUCUUGCCAUCGGAUGUGCCCAGAUGGGAUUAGCUAGUAGGUGGGGUAACGGCUCACCUAGGCGACGAUCCCUAGCUGGUCUGAGAGGAUGACCAGCCACACUGGAACUGAGACACGGUCCAG